rnacentral:misc_RNA from 1 species
ACUACCUCAUCAAAAUUCGGUCGUUUGUCGGGGUUGGUCGCCCAACAUUGAUAUAUGAGAUGCUGAAACGCCAUAGGACAAGUAGGGGGUAUCGGCGGCCUGGCAUUCUUCUGGGAAACAGCAAAAGCAGCUUGUUCAGGAGUCAUUUCAUGAAAUGGAAUCAACGCCGUUAGAAGUUCCCAAAGGACAAUACCGAAACUGUAUACGUCAACUUUCCUUGUAUGAUGUUUUUCCUUGAUCAUCUCUGGCGCCAUCCAUCGAUACGUACUUGUGAAACCCUUCCCACUGCCACACUCAGUUUCUACACAUGAGAUUCCGA